rnacentral:rRNA from 1 species
AGGAUGAACGCUAGCGGCAGGCCUAAUACAUGCAAGUCGAGGGGCAGCAUUGAUUGCUUGCAAUCAGAUGGCGACCGGCGCACGGGUGCGUAACGCGUAUGCAACUUACCUACUACAGGGGGAUAGCUUCCGGAAACGGAAAUUAAUACCCCAUGGUCUCUAUUAUUCACAUGGAUAUAAGGGUAAAGAUUUAUUGGUAGUAGAUGGGCAUGCGUCCCAUUAGCUAGUUGGCGGUGUAACGGACCACCAAGGCGAUGAUGGGUAGGGGUUCUGAGAGGAUGAUCCCCCACACUGGUACUGAGAUACGGACCAGACUCCUACGGGAGGCAGCAGUGAGGAAUAUUGGUCAAUGGAGGCAACUCUGAACCAGCCAAGCCGCGUGAAGGAAGACUGUUCUACGAAUUGUAAACUUCUUUUCUGGAGGAAUAAAGACAGGUACGUGUAUUUGUUUGCAUGUACUCCAGGAACAAGCAUCGGCUAACUCCGUGCCAGCAGCCGCGGUAAUACGGAGGAUGCAGGCGUUAUCCGGAUUUAUUAGGUUUAAAGGGUGUCUAGGUGGGCUGGUAAGUCAGAGGUGAACGUCGGUUGCUUAACAAUCGAAUUGCCUUUGAUACUGUCAGUCUUGAGUAUGGUUGAUGUGGGCGGAAUGUGUAGUGUAGCGGUGAAAUGCAUAGAUAUUACACAGAACCCCAAUUGCGAAGGCAGCUCACAAAACCUUUACUGACACUGAAGCACGAAACGUGGGUAGCGAACAGGAUUAGAUACCCUGGUAGUCCACGCCGUAAACUAUGCUCACUCGCUGUUGGCGAUACACAGUCAGCGGUCAAGGGAAACCGAUAAGUGAGCCACCUGGGGAGUACGCUCGCAAGAGUGAAACUCAAAGGAAUUGACGGGGGCCCGCACAAGCGGUGGAACAUGUGGUUUAAUUCGAUGAUACGCGAGGAACCUUACCUGGGCUUAAAUGUAUAGUGCAUGAACUGGAAACAGUUCUUUCCUUCGGGACUCUUUACAAGGUGCUGCAUGGUUGUCGUCAGCUCGUGCCGUGAGGUGUCGGGUUAAGUCCCAUAACGAGCGCAACCCCUAUCGUUAGUUACCAGCACGUAGUGGUGGGGACUCUAGCGAAACUGCCGGUGUAAACCGCGAGGAAGGUGGGGAUGACGUCAAAUCAGCACGGCCCUUAUGUCCAGGGCUACACACGUGUUACAAUGGUCGGUACAGCGGGCAGCUUCAUAGCGAUAUGCGGCAAAUCCCGAAAGCCGAUCCCAGUUCGGAUUGGAGUCUGCAACCCGACUCCAUGAAGUUGGAAUCGCUAGUAAUCGCGCAUCAGCCAUGGCGCGGUGAAUACGUUCCCGGGCCUUGUACACACCGCCCGUCAAGCCAUGGAAGUUUGGGGUACC